rnacentral:lncRNA from 1 species
CUGUACACUGAAAAAGCAUCCAUAAAAUUGAGAAGCUGAUGACCUAAGAUGGCAUCAACAAGUUGGUCAAUCCUUAGAAGGAGAAAACAAUCUUUCAGAAAAGUCUUAUUGAGAUCAGUGCAUUCAAUGCGAACUCUCUAACUUCCAUUAGCUUUCUUAACUAGCACCAUAUUGGCUAUCCAUUUUAGGUAGUCAAUUCAUGUUUGAUCCCCGCUUGCAAGAGCUUGCUAACUUCAUCUAUUAUUUGUUGUCAUUUUGGGGAAGCUUCUCUUGUUCUACUUAAGUAGUUGGCACUUCAGAUCUACAUUUAACCUAUGCAUUAUUACAAAAGAUCCAUAUCUAGCAUGUUGGAGGUUGACCAAGCAAGCACAUCGAUGUUGGAGCAAAGGAAUUGAAUAAGUUGGCUCUUCACUUCCUCGACAAGCAUGGAACUGAUCUAGAUAGCUCCACUGUCCUCUUUGGUGAAGAGUGGGAUAGAGAGGAGUUCCUUCACUGGCUCUCCAUGUUGCUCCUAUUCAAGUCCUUCAAUGGACAAUGGUUCUAGGUGUGUAGCACUUCUUUGGAGGGUAGCUACAUAGCAUUCUCAGGCCAUGGCCCAAUCC